rnacentral:rRNA from 1 species
AACGAACGCUGGCGGCAUGCCUAACACAUGCAAGUCGAACGAGACCUCCGGGUGUAGUGACGCAGGGGUGCGUAACGCGAGGGAACCUGCCAUCAGGUUUGAAAUACCUCCUAGCUGGGGGUGCCUAUACGGGAUAAUGUCUAAGAUCCCAAGAUCUAUCGUCUUUGUAUGCGUCCGCGUUGGAUUACCUAGUUGGUAGGGUAAAAGCCUACCAAGGCGUCGAUCCAUAGCUGGUCUGAGAGGAUGUUCAGCCACACUGGGACUGAGACACGGCCGAGACUCCUACGGGAGGAAGCAGUGGGGAAUGAUGGACAAUGGGCGAGAGUCUGAUGCAGCAAUGCCGCGUGAGUGAUGAAGGCCUUAGGGUUGUAAAGCACUUUUGACCGGGAUGAUAAUGACAGUACCGGGAGAAUAAGCGCCGGCUAACUCCGUG